GCCCCGUUAGCUCAGCUGGUCAGAGCAGGAGACUCAUAAUCUCUUGGUCCUCGGUUCAAGUCCGAGACGGGGCA
rnacentral:tRNA from 1 species